AUGGCAUGCACGCAGCGCAUAGGAUUCUUCUGCCGUCCGUCCCGGUGUGAUAAACAAAGGCAGGUGGGGCGCGGGGUCUGUAUCAUGGCACCGAAAGGGACCAAAACUCGUGGGCCGUGUCGGGCACGGGUGCGACUUUUCUGGCCGUCCGCCCAGAUCUGGCCUCGGUACCAGGCAUUUAAUACGAAAGUUAAUGAAUUCCGGCCGGAACGAUCAGGCAGGCGCGAGCCAGCUGCGCAAACAAGUUGUUUCCUACUCCGUGCUGAUAACAGACGCCACACAAAACAAAACAGGCUAUCUCCACGGAGGUCACGCACGCCAGAUGCGCACGCAAGCCGCGAGGCUCUCCUAUCCUUUCUCCGUUUCCUCCUCUGCCCAUGGCUCUACCAAACCUCGCCGCCGGGCACCCCCGUCGGCGGCGCCUGCCCGCCGCCGGGCCGACCAGGCCACCCGACGCAUGCCUGCGCUGGAUCCGACGUGUGA
rnacentral:rRNA from 1 species